rnacentral:rRNA from 1 species
UUGAACGCUGGCGGCAUGCUUUACACAUGCAAGUCGAACGGUAACGGGGGCUUUGCCCCGCUGACGAGUGGCGAACGGGUGAGUAAUGCAUCGGAACGUACCCAGUCGUGGGGGAUAACUACGCGAAAGUUUCGCUAAUACCGCAUACGCCCUGCGGGGGAAAGCGGGGGACCUUCAGGCCUCGCGCGAUUGGAGCGGCUGAUGUCGGAUUAGCUAGUUGGUGGGGUAAAGGCCUACCAAGGCGACGAUCCGUAGCGGGUCUGAGAGGAUGAUCAGCCACACUGGGACGGAGACACGGCCCAGACGCCUACGGGAGGCAGCAGGGGGGAAUUUUGGACAAUGGGCGCAAGCCUGAUCCAGCCAUGCCGCGUGAGUGAAGAAGGCCUUCGGGUUGUAAAGCUCUUUCAGACGGAAAGAAAACGGACGGGUGAAUAGCGGGCGUGGAUGACGGUACUGUAAGAAGAAGCACCGGCUAACUACGU